UUUACUGCUAUUUUACUGCUGCAAACGCCUCUUCAAGAUGUGCUGGCACAGCCUCACUCCCCAAGUUAAACCCUUGGAAACACAGAAGAUGCCCCUGUCCAGCAGCAGUUGGGGCACGUGAAGUUUCAGGAAGGAAGGGAGGAGCUGCUUUGUUUUCUUCCUAGGGAAGGCCAGCAAUGGGAAUUUCACUAGAGAUCCUACCAACAUUAAAUACUCUGUGAAGCCUCAGGAGCUCCUGAGAUGAUGGAUGACAUCAAGAGCCAAAAGAACAUGUACAAAGCAUCUGCAGAAAGAGAUCCUUAAUGACUGUGUGAAGUCUGUUGAUUUGUUGCCAGUGAAUCUUGCUGAACAGGCUGAACCAAAAUUAUCUUCUUGCAAACAUUCUGUAAAUAGAUCAAUGCCGUAUCCUGUAUCAAACACUCCCUACCUGGAGCCCAUUGAAUAAAUGGAUGUCUUUGCUAUGAAAUUAUAAACCAGAACUUCAUGUGGCAUCAUACCCAUACAGAUUUGAAAUAAUUUAGCUUUCAGCAGGGUUUUCAGCAUUUCAAUAAGAGCAGUAUAAAUAGCCACAGUGUCUCAGCAUU